rnacentral:tRNA from 1 species
GAGGGUAUAGCUCGGUGGUAGAGCACGUGCUUAGCAUGCAAGAGGUCCUGGGUUCAAUCCCUAGUACCUCCA